GGAAGGAUCAUUAGAGAUGCCGAAAGGCUUUUCCAAACACCUGUGCACCGGCUCUGAAGCCCGAGAGGGUCGACGGCCACUUUACACACAAACUCAUGUCAUGAACGUAACAUAUCAUAAUCAAAAACAACUUUUAACAACGGAUCUCUUGGCUCUCGCAUCGAUGAAGAACGCAGCGAAAUGCGAUAAGUAAUGUGAAUUGCAGAAUUCAGUGAAUCAUCGAAUCUUUGAACGCACCUUGCGCCCUUUGGUAUUCCGAAGGGCAUGCCUGUUUGAGUGUCAUGAAGACUCAACCCCUCGGGUUUCUUACCCGAGGUGCGUUGGAUUUGGGCCCUGCCUUCUCGGGCUGGCCUUAAAUGUGUUAGCGGUGACCGCACAGACGUUGUAAGCACUCGUCGACCGUCGGGCCCGCUCCCAACCCCCAAUCUAUUUGCACUCUGACCUCAAAUCAGGUAGGGCUACCCGCUGAACUUAAGCAUAUCAAUAAGCGGAGGAAAAGAAACUAACCAGGAUUCCCUUAGUAACGGCGAGUGAACCGGGA
rnacentral:misc_RNA from 1 species